rnacentral:rRNA from 1 species
GAUGAACGCUGGCGGCGUGCCUAAUACAUGCAAGUCGGGCGAACGGACGAGAAGCUUGCUUCUCUGAUGUUAGCGGCGGACGGGUGAGUAACACGUGGAUAACCUACCUAUAAGACUGGGAUAACUUCGGGAAACCGUAGCUAAUACCGGAUAAUAUUUUGAACCGCAUGGUUCAAAAGUGAAAGACGGUCUUGCUGUCACUUAUAGAUGGAUCCGCGCUGCAUUAGCUAGUUGGUAAGGUAACGGCUUACCAAGGCAACGAUGCAUAGCCGACCUGAGAGGGUGAUCGGCCACACUGGAACUGAGACGCGGUCCAGACUCCUACGGGAGGCAGCAGUAGGGAAUCUUCCGCAAUGGGCGAAAGCCUGACGGAGCAACGCCGCGUGAGUGAUGAAGGUCUUCGGAUCGUAAAACUCUGUUAUUAGGGAAGAACAUAUGUGUAAGUAACUGUGCACAUCUUGACGGUACCUAAUCAGAAAGCCACGGCUAACUACGUG